CGAACGGGGAGGAGCCCAGAGCCUGAAUCAGUGUGUGUGUUAGUGGAAGCGUCUGGAAAGGCGCGCGAUACAGGGUGACAGCCCCGUACACAAAAAUGCACAUACUGUGAGCUCGAUGAGUAGGGCGGGACACGUGGUAUCCUGUCUGAAUAUGGGGGGACCAUCCUCCAAGGCUAAAUACUCCUGACUGACCGAUAGUGAACCAGUACCGUGAGGGAAAGGCGAAAAGAACCCCGGCGAGGGGAGUGAAAAAGAACCUGAAACCGUGUACGUACAAGCAGUGGGAGCCUCUUAAUGGGGUGACUGCGUACCUUUUGUAUAAUGGGUCAGCGACUUAUAUUCUGUAGCAAGGUUAACCGAAUAGGGGAGCCGAAGGGAAACCGAGUCUUAACUGGGCGUUAAGUUGCAGGGUAUAGACCCGAAACCCGGUGAUCUAGCCAUGGGCAGGUUGAAGGUUGGGUAACACUAACUGGAGGACCGAACCGACUAAUGUUGAAAAAUUAGCGGAUGACUUGUGGCUGGGGGUGAAAGGCCAAUCAAACCGGGAGAUAGCUGGUUCUCCCCGAAAGCUAUUUAGGUAGCGCCUCGUGAAUUCAUCUCCGGGGGUAGAGCACUGUUUCGGCAAGGGGGUCAUCCCGACUUACCAACCCGAUGCAAACUGCGAAUACCGGAGAAUGUUAUCACGGGAGACACACGGCGGGUGCUAACGUCCGUCGUGAAGAGGGAAACAACCCAGACCGCCAGCUAAGGUCCCAAAGUCAUGGUUAAGUGGGAAACGAUGUGGGAAGGCCCAGACAGCCAGGAUGUUGGCUUAGAAGCAGCCAUCAUUUAAAGAAAGCGUAAUAGCUCACUGGUCGAGUCGGCCUGCGCGGAAGAUGUAACGGGGCUAAACCAUGCACCGAAGCUGCGGCAGCGACACUAUGUGUUGUUGGGUAGGGGAGCGUUCUGUAAGCCUGUGAAGGUGUACUGUGAGGUAUGCUGGAGGUAUCAGAAGUGCGAAUGCUGACAUAAGUAACGAUAAAGCGGGUGAAAAGCCCGCUCGCCGGAAGACCAAGGGUUCCUGUCCAACGUUAAUCGGGGCAGGGUGAGUCGACCCCUAAGGCGAGGCCGAAAGGCGUAGUCGAUGGGAAACAGGUUAAUAUUCCUGUACUUGGUGUUACUGCGAAGGGGGGACGGAGAAGGCUAUGUUGGCCGGGCGACGGUUGUCCCGGUUUAAGCGUGUAGGCUGGUUUUCCAGGCAAAUCCGGAAAAUCAAGGCUGAGGCGUGAUGACGAGGCACUACGGUGCUGAAGCGACAAAUGCCCUGCUUCCAGGAAAAGCCUCUAAGCAUCAGGUAACAUCAAAUCGUACCCCAAACCGACACAGGUGGUCAGGUAGAGAAUACCAAGGCGCUUGAGAGAACUCGGGUGAAGGAACUAGGCAAAAUGGUGCCGUAACUUCGGGAGAAGGCACGCUGAUAUGUAGGUGAAGCGACUUGCUCGUGGAGCUGAAAUCAGUCGAAGAUACCAGCUGGCUGCAACUGUUUAUUAAAAACACAGCACUGUGCAAACACGAAAGUGGACGUAUACGGUGUGACGCCUGCCCGGUGCCGGAAGGUUAAUUGAUGGGGUUAGCGGUAACGCGAAGCUCUUGAUCGAAGCCCCGGUAAACGGCGGCCGUAACUAUAACGGUCCUAAGGUAGCGAAAUUCCUUGUCGGGUAAGUUCCGACCUGCACGAAUGGCGUAAUGAUGGCCAGGCUGUCUCCACCCGAGACUCAGUGAAAUUGAACUCGCUGUGAAGAUGCAGUGUACCCGCGGCAAGACGGAAAGACCCCGUGAACCUUUACUAUAGCUUGACACUGAACAUUGAGCCUUGAUGUGUAGGAUAGGUGGGAGGCUUUGAAGUGUGGACGCCAGUCUGCAUGGAGCCGACCUUGAAAUACCACCCUUUAAUGUUUGAUGUUCUAACGUGGGCCCCUUACCGGGGUUGCGGACAGUGUCUGGUGGGUAGUUUGACUGGGGCGGUCUCCUCCUAAAGAGUAACGGAGGAGCACGAAGGUUGGCUAAUCCUGGUCGGACAUCAGGAGGUUAGUGCAAUGGCAUAAGCCAGCUUGACUGCGAGCGUGACGGCGCGAGCAGGUGCGAAAGCAGGUCAUAGUGAUCCGGUGGUUCUGAAUGGAAGGGCCAUCGCUCAACGGAUAAAAGGUACUCCGGGGAUAACAGGCUGAUACCGCCCAAGAGUUCAUAUCGACGGCGGUGUUUGGCACCUCGAUGUCGGCUCAUCACAUCCUGGGGCUGAAGUAGGUCCCAAGGGUAUGGCUGUUCGCCAUUUAAAGUGGUACGCGAGCUGGGUUUAGAACGUCGUGAGACAGUUCGGUCCCUAUCUGCCGUGGGCGCUGGAGAACUGAGGGGGGCUGCUCCUAGUACGAGAGGACCGGAGUGGACGCAUCACUGGUGUUCGGGUUGUCAUGCCAAUGGCACUGCCCGGUAGCUAAAUGCGGAAGAGAUAAGUGCUGAAAGCAUCUAAGCACGAAACUUGCCCCGAGAUGAGUUCUCCCUGACUCCUUGAGAGUCCUGAAGGAACGUUGAAGACGACGACGUUGAUAGGCCGGGUGUGUAAGCGCAGCGAUGCGUUGAGCUAACCGGUACUAAUGAACCGUGAGGCUUAACCUUACAACGCCGAAG
rnacentral:rRNA from 1 species